rnacentral:tRNA from 1 species
GGUUUUAAUGGUAAUUAGAUAAUUUGAACUUAUUUAAAAGGACGUUCGAUUCGUUUAAAAACU